ACAGCAGCAGCCGCGGUAAUACGAAGGGUGCAAGCGUUAAUCGGAAUUACUGGGCGUAAAGCGUGCGUAGGCGGUUUGUUAAGUCUGCUGUGAAAUCCCCGGGCUCAACCUGGGAAUGGCAGUGGAUACUGGCAAGCUAGAGUGUGUCAGAGGAUGGUGGAAUUCCCGGUGUAGCGGUGAAAUGCGUAGAGAUCGGGAGGAACAUCAGUGGCGAAGGCGGCCAUCUGGGACAACACUGACGCUGAGGCACGAAAGCGUGGGGAGCAAACAGGAUUAGAGACCCGCGUAGUCCCUGUCUCUUAUAC
rnacentral:rRNA from 1 species